rnacentral:lncRNA from 1 species
GAACAAUGUAAAUAGAUUAUUUUUUUUACUUUUCGCCGUGACUCCCCCCGCGCUACUUUUUAGUAGCCUACCGAGCGCUAACAACUUGGAGUUAUUGGGACAUCAAUUAUGAACUUUGUUGAAAGAAACCACAUUUGCAGUGGACCUGGGAUGCGUGGAAUUGCCAAUAGAUGAAGAGAAUCAAAGUGUCUCAUUACAAUCAAGCUCUUCUCUCCUGCGACACAGUCAGUGUGAAGGCCCACCAGCUGCUGCUCAUGGUUCUAUUUUCUUUUCCCCUUUUUAGUGUCAGCUGAUAUACUGUUGAGAGGGUAGACAAAAAAGAGGAGGCUGUGUGUGUGUGUGUGUGUGUGUGUGUGUGUGUGUGUGUGUGCGUCGUGCGCGUGCCAUGGAUGAUAUACUUAAGCAAUAAGCCACGAGGGGGUGUGGUAUAUGGCCAAUAUACCACGGCUAAAGGCUGUUCUUAUCUGCGACGCAACGCGGAGUGCCCUUAGCCGUGGUAUAUUGCCGAUAUACCACAAACCCCCGAGGUGCCUUAUUGCUAUUAUACAAUGGUUAUCAAUGUAAUUAGAGCAUUAAAAAUACAUGUUUUGCCAUACCCAUGGUAUACGGUCUGAUAUACCACAACUGUCAGCCAAUCAGCAUUCAGGGCUCGAACCACCCAGUUUAUAAUUUACUGUAGAUGGGGCAAUACAGUGACUUCUUCCCAAUCCCCAAUGUAAUAGGCAUGAACUCUCGUUCUCCCUAUAUCUCACACGGGCCUGUAUGCACACACACACUGAACAGGCAACCUUAGCUGGGUAUGUUAUUAACGUACUUCUGUGGUGACAAGACAAAGCGCUAAUUAUUAUUCUACAGCUAGGGUUAAAGACCCCAGCUGCAGCUAGGCCCCUAUGUUAUUACACCUCAAACCCCCCCCACACACACACACACACACACACACACUUCCUCAGUCCCAACACUUGCCAAAUCAGCUUGCAGUUCCAACACAAAGAACUUUAGGAGCUCCAAGUGCCUAUUCACCCAGUGGAUCUCAGAGAUGCACUAGGGGCUGGGUUUUGGGUGGUGUGUGUGCAUGCAUGCGUUCGUGCGUGUGGCUGUGUGGCCUCUUGAAUUGGAGUUGUAGGGGACAUUCAUCCAUAGAGCCAUCUCAUUUGCUCAGUUGGUUACGCGUGUCACACUUAACUUUCCCAUCCGUCACUUUUUCCACACCUCCCGAACCCACCCCCAAGCCACGCCCCCACUGUGCGCCCAGUUCAGAGAUUGAGUUACGUGACAUUACAGAGAGAGCUCUCAAUUUGACUUUUCAAGCAGGCAUGCGUUCCCAUAACGAUGAGGGGCGACAUGGGUUCCCAUUACAAUGAACAGACACGCAUGUACAAACAAACACAGUCACGCAUACGCACUCACACACAGGCACAUAGAGAUACAUAGUCAUGCAUGUGCACUCAUAUACACACACACAAAUGAAGACCUCCAACCCUAGAGAUGCGGAAUGUGUGUGGUACUACCUAACAUUCCUUAACCAGCUCAGGGUAAAGACAAAAGGACUGG